CUCAUCGUCUGUUCGCUCCGAAAGCCAGUGUGGAUGUGCAGAGGCCGACAGUGUCGCCGUCAGGAACCAUCCUGCUGGGCCGCGAAGCCAGCCCCGCCUCUGAAGGGAUCAAAAUGCAGAUACCACAUCGAGAAGAAGAAGCAGGAUCCGAAUAGAAAUCCUGAAUCCACUUCUGGAGGAAGCCGCGUUACAGCGCCGGGUCCCCUGGGUGCCUUUGUGGCCUUUCUCUCCUUUCAUCUUGUUUCAUCACCAGCGAGGGGGCAGCCCAGCCCCCAGUCCACGGUCCAAUCCCGAGCCAGAGGUUCAGGCUGUCUCCAAGGGAACCGGGGCCGUCUUUCUGUUGCUUCCACCGCCCCCUCCGAGUCCUGUAAGCGCAUCUCUCAUGUAACAGGAAAAAACGCAAGAGGGGAGCUUUGCCUGCGGAUGAGAAGAAAUCACUCGGCCCGGCGGGUCUGCGGCACCGGCGUGAGCCUGGGGGCUUCCCAUCGGGCUCCCUCCUCCCCCGCUGCUGGACGGAGUCCCCCAGACAGCAGGUUCACAGGCCCAGCAGUGGAGAGUGACAGGCGCUACAACGUGGAGGUGGUGGGCGCAGGUUGCCAUGACAACACAGCACGACCUUGAGCUCCACAAGGACAAGCGCAGACCAAGGGAUGCUCUCUGGGUGAAGAUGCUCCAAGAGAAAAUGAAGACACAGCAGAGGCAGAGGAAGACCCCCGGCCUCGGCUCUCAGCGGGACCUGGAGGGUCAGCAGACAGAGGUCACCAGCUUGAGAGACAUGGGGCUGCCCAGCUUGGCAUCAGUUGCACGAAGGCUCCGCCCCAUGAAAGUGCCUGCAUUUACUCAUGAAACCGUCCCUUGGACUCUAGAAGUCUGUGUUAGCUGGACUCUGGAGAGCGGAUCUGAAUGGCAGUAUCCCGAGUUCCAGGCUUUUGGUCCUGAUUCCUGCUUUAUACCGGGCUUCCCCGGUGCCUCAGAAGAAAAGAAUCUGCAGGGCAGAGCGAGGCAGGAGCCGCAGAAGACCUGGGUUUGAUCCCUGGGUCAGGAAGAUCCCCUGGAGGAGGGCAUGGCAACCCACUCCAGCAUUCUUGCCUGGAGAAUCCCACGGACAGAGGAGCCUGGUGGGCUGCAGUCCAUGGGGUCGCAAAGAGUCGGACACAGCUGAAGUGACUGGGGCAUGCACAGUGGUCCAGCCCAGCCCACAGAAGAGGAAGUUUCCUGGCCCCAACUCCCAGAAAAGAAUGUGCUAUAAACUUGCCCUCCCAUAGGGUCAGUGCUUCCCAGGAUAAAAUUAUUCACUUAAAUAAUUUUAAUAUAAUAAACGUGAAAAUUUAGUAGGAACUGAGAUUUAUGGGAAAGUGCUAGCAUUUGGCAGAUUCUGAUGGGUUAGAAAGAUCGCAUUCAGUAUUUUCAGCAGUGUUCAGGUGGGCAUUGUUCUAUUAAUCGUACCUGAAGACAUUAAUAGAAA